UACUUUUUUUUUUUCUUCUUUCUUGACUGACAGAGUCUUAAUUAGUUACGAUUAGCUAUUUUGUGGACUGGGUAUUGGUUGUACAGCCCCAAAAUAUGUAUUCAACAAAUACAGGAGUAAAAGGAGAAGAAAGGCUGCACCUGCUGUGCUUAUCUUGGAGAAAAGCUGCUCUUGUGUUUAGAAGAAAAACUUAGAACCUGGUAAGUCCACAUUCUGGGUCUCAGUAGCCUGUCUCUAACAUUGGAAAGCAGUUACACUGCCUGGAGGGUGAUCACUUUAAAGAUUAUUGGAAACAACUGGGUGCCAUGGCCAGAGUGUGCACAGACACUCAAACCUGAGAUUGCUGCUGGGGUGCUCAUUGUCACACCUCUCCUAGAGUGUAGGGCUCUGUUUUUUCAGAGGAGACAACAGUGAGUCUGAUACAAAAUAUAAACAAAAUCUACAUGGACAGCUUAACAGAUGAGAUUUAGCUGUAGUAUGCAGAUGUAUAUCCUAAUGAAAAUUUAUCCAAUAUAAUAUAGAAUUGUACAGCUCCCUUUAAAUUACUCUGACAACUUUUUAAAAUGAGUGAACAAGCAUUAUUUUCCACUAACUUAAUUUAGAAAAAACCUAAGUGAUUUCUUCUUUCAAAAGACUUUAACUUGUGUUGUUUUUUCAGUGUAUUCAAUUUUUUUUAAAGUUGGUUAAAAUGUCUCACUUUAGGUGACUGAAGAUUGAUACUAGAAAACAGUGGUGGAACAUAUUGGAUGGAAUCUACAACUGGAGUGCCUACAACAAAAAAAUAUUCCCUUUUCUAUUAAGCACAGGAAUAUAUUUCAGCCAGAAAAAAGCAGCAACAGGAUUCCUUUCUUUCCAAUUCAAAUGUGACUUCCAUCCAUAUUUUGCACAGGCAGUUCUGCCCAGGGAUCCCUCAGAAUGAAUGAGCUGAAACUGAAAGGUGGGCAGCACCUCUCAGGGCUCCAUGCCUCACCUGAGCUUUGACGAGGAAGAUGCUGCAUCACUGGCAGCACAUGUUUGGUGGUAUCAGGUAUCUGUGGUAGAAGAGCAUGCUGGAUUCCUGCCAGUGUUUGCAGUGAGGCAGUUACCUGAGUCUCGAUGCUGUUCAGUGGAUGAGUGGAGCAGUGGUACGUGCAGGAGAAACUAA
rnacentral:lncRNA from 1 species